rnacentral:rRNA from 1 species
AGUCGAACGAGAAUCUACUGAAAGAGUUUUCGGACAAUGGAUGUAGAGGAAAGUGGCGGACGGGUGAGUAACGCGUGAGGAACCUGCCUUGAAGAGGGGGACAACAGUUGGAAACGACUGCUAAUACCGCAUGACGCAUAGAGGUCGCAUGAUCUUUAUGCCAAAGAUUUAUCGCUUCAAGAUGGCCUCGCGUCUGAUUAGCUGGUUGGCGGGGUAACGGCCCACCAAGGCGACGAUCAGUAGCCGGACUGAGAGGUUGAACGGCCACAUUGGGACUGAGAUACGGCCCAGACUCCUACGGGAGGCAGCAGUGGGGAAUAUUGGGCAAUGGGCGCAAGCCUGACCCAGCAACGCCGCGUGAAGGAAGAAGGCUUUCGGGUUGUAAACUUCUUUUAAGAGGGAAGAGCAGAAGACGGUACCUCUAGAAUAAGCCACGGCUAACUACGUGCCAGCAGCCGCGGUAAUACGUAGGUGGCAAGCGUUGUCCGGAUUUACUGGGUGUAAAGGGCGUGCAGCCGGGUCUGCAAGUCAGAUGUGAAAUCCAUGGGCUCAACCCAUGAACUGCAUUUGAAACUGUGGAUCUUGAGUGUCGGAGGGGCAAUCGGAAUUCCUAGUGUAGCGGUGAAAUGCGUAGAUAUUAGGAGGAACACCAGUGGCGAAGGCGGAUUGCUGGACGAUAACUGACGGUGAGGCGCGAAAGUGUGGGGAGCAAACAGGAUUAGAUACCCUGGUAGUCCACACUGUAAACGAUGAAUACUAGGUGUGCGGGGACUGACCCCCUGCGUGCCGCAGUAAACACAAUAAGUAUUCCACCUGGGGAGUACGAUCGCAAG